rnacentral:misc_RNA from 1 species
CAUUGUUGAAACCUACACAGCAGAACGACCCRUGAACUAGUGACAACCGACGASGGGCRGGGGGCACUUGUCGCCCUCUCGCCCCCCACCUCCCCGGUGAGCGGGGACCUCGCGUCUCCCACCCUCAAACCGUACCCCGGUGCGAAAUGCGCCAAGGAAAUCGAACCAAGAGAGCCACGCCGGAGGCCCCRGACACGAUGCRCCCUCGGUGUUGGCAACUUAUGAAUUAUCCAAAACAAAUUUCGGCAACAGAUAUCUAGGCUCUCGCAUYGAUGAAGAACGUAGAAAAAUGCAAUACUUGGUGUGAAUUGCAGAAUCUCGUGAAUCAUUGAGUUUUUGAACACAUGUUAUGCCCGAAGCCACUCGGCCGAGGGCACGUCUGCUUGGGUGUCAUGCACUGUUGCCCCCYCCCCC